rnacentral:miRNA from 1 species
GGAACUGUACAUCGUCGGA